rnacentral:rRNA from 1 species
GAUGAACGCUAGCGGCAGGCUUAAUACAUGCAAGUCGAGGGGCAGCAUGACUGUAGCAAUACAGUUGAUGGCGACCGGCAAACGGGUGCGGAACACGUACAGAACCUUCCUUCGAGCGGGGAAUAGCCCAGAGAAAUUUGGAUUAAUACCCCAUAGUAUUACGGAGUGGCAUCACUUUGUAAUUAAAGAUUUAUCACUUGAAGAUGGCUGUGCGGCUGAUUAGGUAGUUGGCGGGGUAACGGCCCACCAAGCCUGCGAUCAGUAACUGGUGUGAGAGCACGACCAGUCACACGUGCACUGAGUCACGGGCCCGACUCCUACUGGAGGCAGCAGUAAGGAAUAUUGGUCAAUGGACGAAAGUCUGAACCAGCCAUGCCGCGUGAAGGAUGAAGGUCCUCUGGAUUGUAAACUUCUUUUAUAUGGGACGAAAAAAGGCUUUUCUAAGUCGUCUGACUGUACCAUAUGAAUAAGCACCGGCUAACUCCGUGCCAGCCGCCGCAGUAACAC